AAUUGGCUUUGGUAUAAAUGUAAAUUGGCCCUAGUGUUAAAUGUGCGGGGAUAGCUGGUCGGUGCGGACUCGGUGGGCCGAAGGGCCUGUUUCCGUGCUGUAUCUCUAAACUUAACUAAACUAAGCUUGUGUGCCACAAAGUCAUUUUCUCUUGUGGAUGUUACGAUUGACUCGAGAAGAUGAUCUUUGCAGCCAAUCAUUCCGGAUGUGAUGCUACUGAGUGACAUGCUUAAGAGAUCUCUUUACAUUGUGUAUUCCUCAUUGCUUAUCCACCUUGUUGUUAUACACACAGAGUGAUACAGUGUGGAAACAGGCCCUUCGGCCCGACCUGCCCACACCGGCCAACAUGUCCCGUCUACACUAGUCCCACCUGUCUGCCUUAACCCCUCUCCCUCCAAACCUGUCCUAUCCAUGUACCUGUCGAAAAUGUUUCUUAAACGUUGCAAUAGUCCCUGCCUCAACUACCUCCUCUUCCAGCUCGUUCCAUACACCCACCACCCUUUGUGUGAAAAGAUUACCCCUCAGGUUCCUAUUAAAUCUUUCUCCCCACCCCCACCUCACCUUAAAUCCUCUGGUUCUCGAUUCCAUUUCUCUGGGCACGAGACUCUGUGCAUCUACCUGAUCUAUUCCUUUCAUGGUUUUGUGCAGGAGUUAAUAGAAGCUUACAACAGAAAAAACUAUUCCUUUUUCCCCAGUUUCCUACCUGCAUUUAUCCUUCAUAAGUGAUAGGAGUAGAAUUCUGCCAAUCCCCGCCUUAAAAAUGUCCACUGACUUGGCCUCCACAGCUGUCUGUGUGGCAAUGAAUCCCACAGAUUCACCACCCUCUGACUAAAGAACUCAGUCACUGGUGGCCUGAACUCAGCUGCUUUCUCAAAAGAGGUAUGAACCCCACUAUCUCGGUAAAGGGCCAGUGGAUGCGUAGAUAGAUACAAAAAAACGCCGGAGCGGGUCAGACAGCGUCUCUGGAGCCGAGGAAUACUCCAACACCUGUAGAUGUGUGUUGGAAAUGUACCUGGAGUUGCGUUGAAGUUUGCCUUUGCCAAAGUCUGUAUGCGGACCUGCCCUACUGUGAAUCCACUGCACUGCUGUAGUGUUCUGACGGGAUGUCGAUCAGCGGCCCAUCAUUUGGCCGCUACCCGCCUGCUCUCUCCACACCGCUGUCCGAGCCCCGAGACAGACGUUCAAACACACUCACUCCUGCGGACUCUAGCAUCUUGCACCCGUCUUCUUGUAGAACCAAACCCGCACAAGCUCUCUCUCUCUCUCGCUCCCUCUGAGUGUCGUGUAAGACUUAUCAAAGAGAGAUAUUUGACAAUGAAACUGCGAUAGCGUUGAGUAGCAUCACAGCCUUAACGCUCGCCGGCCCCUGAGGUUUCCACCGCUCACAGCCUGUGCUAGUUUGUAUCGCCUCUUGCCUUGUUUCAGUUGCUACCUGUGCAUUAACUGGUCUUGCCAAAAACACCGCCUUGUCUGUCCCCCCCCCCCCCACCCACCUCAGUGAACCCACAGGCCCCUCGAAUACGGAUAGAGCGGCCACAUUCACUGAGCAGACAGACAAGGAGGCAUGAUGUAAACAUUUUUUGUUUGUUUGUUUGUUUAAGCGGCAAUUCUCCAAAAUAGUUUAAGAAAAAAAUGCAAGUGUAACACGAGGUUAUGUAACAAAGUAGUUUCAAUUACAUUAUUUAUUUGGUAAGAUGCAUUCUAAACGGUAUUUUAAAUAGCUUGCAAUAUCAAACGGUGUCGAUCUGCUCCACACAUCAAACAAACAAUAAGACGUUUCAGGUCCGAAGGCAGAAGCUUCUGACGAUCUGUACACCGCGCAUGUCGAUCUGAUUGACUCUUCUCAUGGAGUUUUCUGCAUGUAAACGCUCCUGACUUUAAACCUGUCCACUGAACAAAUAAAAAAUAUAUAUUAAUCAUAACUGGUGUCGUGGAUAUUAUCCUCCAUUUCAGCAAAGCCAAGACAUCGAUUCACACGGGAUAGGAGCAGAAUUAGGCCAUUCGGCCCAUCAAG